CCUACGGGGGAAAAAUUUAUUGCUAUUAGAUGAGCCUAUAUUAGAUUAGUUAGUUGGUGAGGUAAGGGCUUACCAAGACAAUGAUCUAUAGCUGAUCUGAGAGGAUGAUCAGCCACACUGGAACUGAGAUACGGUCCAGACUCCUACGGGAGGCAGCAGUGGGGAAUAUUGGACAAUGGGCGAAAGCCUGAUCCAGCCAUGCCGCAUGAGUGAAGAAGGCCUUCGGGUUGUAAAGCUCUUUUAGUGAGGAAGAUAAUGACGGUACUCACAGAAGAAGUCCUGGCUAACUCCGUGCCAGCAGCCGCGGUAAUACGGAGAGGGCUAGCGUUAUUCGGAAUCAUUGGGCGUAAAGGGCGCGUAGGCGGGUUAGUAAGUUAAAAGUGAAAUCCCAAGGCUCAACCUUGGAACUGCUUUUAAAACUGCUAGUCUAGAGAUUGAAAGAGGAUAGAGGAAUUCCUAGUGUAGAGAUGAAAUUCGUAAAUAUUAGGAGGAACACCAGUGGCGAANGCGUCUAUCUGGUUCAAAUCUGACGCUGANGCGCGAAGGCGUGGGGAGCAAACAGGAUUAGAUACCCUGGUAGUCCACGCUGUAAACGAUGAAUGUUAAAUAUGGGAAGUUUACUUUCUGUAUUAUAGCUNACGCGUUAAACAUUCCGCCUGGGGACUAC
rnacentral:rRNA from 1 species